rfam:Triticum urartu cultivar G1812 contig1454371, whole genome shotgun sequence.
CAUGUACUCCCUCCGUUCCGAAUUACUUGUCGCAGGUAUGGAUGCAUCUAGAUGUAUUUUAGUUCUAGAUACACCCAUUUCUACGACGAGUAAUUUGGAACGGAGGGAGUAGCAU